UACGAAGGGGGGCUAGCGUUGUUCGGAUUAACUGGGCGUAAAGGGGUGCGUAGGCGGGUUUUUAAGUCAGGGGUGAAAUCCCAGAGCUCAACUCUGGAACUGCCUUUGAUACUGGGUAUCUUGAGUAUGGAAGAGGUGAGUGGAAUUCCGAGUGUAGAGGUGAAAAUUCGUAGAUAUUCGGAGGAACACCAGUGGCGAAGGCGGCUCACUGGUCCAUUACUGACGCUGAGGUGCGAGAGCGUGGGGAGCAAACAGG
rnacentral:rRNA from 1 species